rnacentral:rRNA from 1 species
GCUCAGGAUGAACGCUAGCUACAGGCUUAACACAUGCAAGUCGAGGGGUAGCAGGGUAGCAAUACCGCUGACGACCGGCGCACGGGUGAGUAACACGUAUCCAACCUUCCCAUAACUCGGGGAUAGCCUUUCGAAAGAAAGAUUAAUACCCGAUAGUACUUUUUUAGGGCAUCUUAGAAAAGUUAAAGAUUUAUUGGUUAUGGAUGGGGAUGCGUUCCAUUAGAUAGUUGGUGAGGUAACGGCUCACCAAGUCUUCGAUGGAUAGGGGUUCUGAGAGGAAGGUCCCCCACAUUGGUACUGAGACACGGACCAAACUCCUACGGGAGGCAGCAGUGAGGAAUA